rnacentral:misc_RNA from 1 species
GAUGAAGAACGUAGCGAAAUGCGAUAAGUAGUGUGAAUUGCAGAAUUCAGUGAAUCAUCGAAUCUUUGAACGCACAUUGCGCCCCCUGGUAUUCCGGGGGGCAUGCCUGUCCGAGCGUCAUUGCUGCCCUCAAGCACGGCUUGUGUGUUGGGCCCCCGUCCCCGGUUCUCCCCGGGGACGGGCCCGAAAGGCAGCGGCGGCACCGCGUCCGAUCCUCGAGCGUAUGGGGCUUUGUCACCCGCUCUGUAGGCCCGGCCGGCGCCAGCCGACACCCCAACUUUAUUUUCUAAGGUUGACCUCGGAUCAGGUAGGGAUACCCGCUGAACUUAAGCAUAUCAAUAAGCGGAGGA